GCCAACGAAAGCGAUAAGAAAUCGAUGCGUAACUGGCAUAUAUUAGAAUCACAAGGUUGAACCACUAUAGUGCAUUUACCGCCACCACUUCGAACAACUACCAGCUAAAAUGCCGCCAUUAUCUGUACACUCUCCUCUAACCAUGCAUGUGCCCUGUUGAUUGUUGCUGGCCACGCAAUUGUCAUUACGAAAACGACCAAUCGUAUAAAAAGGAAACCCUAGAGGGACAUAAGGACUCUUAAAUUCUUCUUAUCACAAAUACAAAUGAGUCAAUAACGACUAUCGAUUAACAAUAACCGAACGGGAAGGGCAAAUAAGUUGGUAACAAAAAAAAAAAAAAAAAAA